rnacentral:rRNA from 1 species
AGUCGAGGGGCAGCAUUUUAGUUUGCUUGCAAACUGAAGAUGGCGACCGGCGCACGGGUGAGUAACACGUAUCCAACCUGCCGAUAACUCCGGAAUAGCCUUUCGAAAGAAAGAUUAAUACCGGAUAGUAUACGAAUAUCGCAUGAUAUUUUUAUUAAAGAAUUUCGGUUAUCGAUGGGGAUGCGUUCCAUUAGUUUGUUGGCGGGGUAACGGCCCACCAAGACUACGAUGGAUAGGGGUUCUGAGAGGAAGGUCCCCCACAUUGGAACUGAGACACGGUCCAAACUCCUACGGGAGGCAGCAGUGAGGAAUAUUGGUCAAUGGGCGCGAGCCUGAACCAGCCAAGUAGCGUGAAGGAUGAAGGCUCUAUGGGUCGUAAACUUCUUUUAUAUGGGAAUAAAGUUUUCCACGUGUGGAAUUUUGUAUGUACCAUAUGAAUAAGGAUCGGCUAACUCCGUGCCAGCAGCCGCGGUAAUACGGAGGAUCCGAGCGUUAUCCGGAUUUAUUGGGUUUAAAGGGAGCGUAGGUGGAUUGUUAAGUCAGUUGUGAAAGUUUGCGGCUCAACCGUAAAAUUGCAGUUGAAACUGGCAGUCUUGAGUACAGUAGAGGUGGGCGGAAUUCGUGGUGUAGCGGUGAAAUGCUUAGAUAUCACGAAGAACUCCGAUUGCGAAGGCAGCUCACUAGACUGUUACUGACACUGAUGCUCGAAAGUGUGGGUAUCAAACAGGAUUAGAUACCCUGGUAGUCCACACAGUAAACGAUGAAUACUCGCUGUUUGCGAUAUACAGUAAGCGGCCAAGCGAAAGCAUUAAGUAUUCCACCUGGGGAGUACGCCGGCAACGGUGAAACUCAAAGGAAUUGACGGGGGCCCGCACAAGCGGAGGAACAUGUGGUUUAAUUCGAUGAUACGCGAGGAACCUUACCCGGGCUUAA